rnacentral:rRNA from 1 species
CCUACGGGAGGCAGCAGUCGAGAAUCAUUCACAAUGGGGGAAACCCUGAUGGUGCGACGCCGCGUGGGGGAAUGAAGGUCUUCGGAUUGUAAACCCCUGUCAUGUGGGAGCAAAUUAAAAAGAUAGUACCACAAGAGGAAGAGACGGCUAACUCUGUGCCAGCAGCCGCGGUACUACAGAGGUCUCAAGCGUUGUUCGGAAUCACUGGGCGUAAAGCGUGCGUAGGCUGUUGCGUAAGUCGUGUGUGAAAGGCGCGGGCUCAACCCGCGGACGGCACAUGAUACUGCGAGACUAGAGUAAUGGAGGGGGAACUGGAAUUCGCGGUGUAGCAGUGAAAUGCGUAGAUAUCGAGAGGAACACUCGUGGCGAAGGCGGGUUCCUGGACAUUAACUGACGCUGAGGCACGAAGGCCAGGGGAGCGAAAGGGAUUAGAUACCCGUGUAGUC